CUACAGUCUUCCAUGACCAGUGAACCAAGGUGGACCAACUUGAGGCUGAUAUUCUUUUCAGAAGUGCAGGACACUCUUGAAAUUAUUUGAUGUUGCUCAGCCAUCCUACCUUCGAGAUCUUUCUGGAUUUCCUGCUUGGAGUUGAUUGCAAAUUCUUCCCUCUCAGUAAGGUCCAGCUUUGAGCAAAAUGGGCAUCACAGGAAUGGAUGAGUGCCGAGGAAGUGGUGUGAGGAGGUGACACGGCAGCUUCUUGAUGGCAUCGUAUGAGUGCCCCAGGAUUAUCCUCUAAUUGAUGCCUCUGGGCUGCCCAAAGAUGAUGUGGUGCAGGAACAGGAGCAUGAAGGAGGAAUGCAGGAGGUUUUGAAGGCUGAUAAUGCCUUCCUCUCAGGUGAAGCCUGGAGAACAAGCGUAAUAGGUUUCAAUCAGAGAGCAGGGAAAUAAUAUUUUAAAGCCAAGCAAACAACUGACUGACUCAGGAAGGAUAAUUAGCAAAGCUGAGCAGGAGCAAGGUGCACUAAGGCCCAGCUUGCAUUAUGCUUUGACAGAGACUGGCUUAAAUUUCUCCGCUUCACUGUGUUUCUGUUCUCCCAUCUUGGUCCCACCUAUUGUGAGGCCUCUUUGAGCUGCCAGAUCUGAACACAAUCUAGUUAGGACUUUUCAGCACAGAUCAAAUGAAAUUCCCUACUCCCCCUCCCAUGAUCCCUGCUGUGACAUUUACAGCGUUGAAGUAAAUUGUUAUUUUGAACUGCUUCUGUGUUUCCCUGGAACCCAGCAAGGGAAGGGAGCCUCUUCAUGCUGGCAAUGGGGGAGUUAACUUUCCAGUAAAGCCACAGAGUCAAAUAAGUCCAAAUCGUUAUUAGUCACCUCAGGAUCCAAUCAGCCAGUGGUCAUUUCAGGAAUCCACAAGGGAUUUUUUUCCAACUCUCUCUCCCCUCCAAUGGUUAAGUCACAGCCUGCUUGAGGCCCACUGAUGGCUGUGCACAGUCUGGGCUCAGCACUGGCUCCUCAGAGCCUGACAUGUAAACAAGAACUGCAAGAUUUCACUAAUUCCUAACAAAAACUAGAUUAGCCCAUCCCUCUUCAAAGCUACCAAGUGCUUGAAAAGAUUGGGAAAAAACAAAUCAAGUCUUUAUUUACUAGCAAUUUACUUCCCAGGAAGAGCACUUAACAGGCAUGCAGAGAGACUGUGACUCUCCUGGCUGGGGGUGAGAUUCCCUAUUGCUGAAUUUUUCUCUCUUCUCUUUGCCAUGGCCUCACCCUGGGGAAUCUCUGAAGGUCCGGAUUCUGCAAAAGGUGGAGAAUCCUGUUAAAUCAGCACUUGUGUAAAAGCCUGGCCCUGGGCAUCAUGCAGGGUUGGGAGGACAUGGCAGUGAGAAAGCUGUUUUCCCUCUCCUCCUUGGGGACUGGACUGCAGGACAUCCCGAUGGUCUGCACUGCAGUCCAGCACUGGAAUGAUGGGUUUGUGGGGCUGUGCUGUUUCAAUUUGCUUUGGGUUAAACUGAGCCCUGUAGAAACAAAAGUCGUUUCCUCCCAUCAAACUGUGGUCCCAGACCUGACACUUGACCUCUG